UCGUCCUCUGACACCACUAGAUAAAGGAUAAUGCCUGCCCAGUGAACUUUUAAACGGCCGCGUUAGCGUGAGCGUGCUAAGGUAGCGUAAUAAAUAGCCUCUUAAUUGGAGGCCAGUGAAUGGCAAGACUAAGAACACCUAUACACCCUGCGUCAAAAGAACUUUUCAUCUAAGUGAAAAGACUUAGCUAAUUAUAGGAAGACGAAAAGACCCCGCGGAGCUUUACUUUUUCUAGCACAAACACCAACAAAUGAGAAAUGCAAAAAGUUUGAUUGGGGCAAUCUCGGAACCAACAAGCUUCCGACAUCGCAGGAACAACAUAAAAAACUUAUUAUGGACAAGACAAAAGCUACCCCGGGGAUAACAGCGUCAUCCAACUUGAGAGUACACAUCGAAAGUUGGGUUUGCGACCUCGAUGUUGGCUUAAGGACAUCCGCAUUAGUGCAGCCGCUAUGCAGGACAGUCUGUUCGACUGCUAUACCCUUA
rnacentral:rRNA from 1 species